rfam:Babesia microti strain RI chromosome II, complete genome.
GUACGUGUGGCGCAAUGGAUAGCGCAUCGCCCUCCGGAGGCGAAGAUAUGAGUUCGAUUCUCGUCUCGUACG